rnacentral:rRNA from 1 species
GAGUUUGAUCCUGGCUCAGGAUGAACGCUGGCGGCGUGCUUAACACAUGCAAGUCGAACGAACCUUCGGGUGAGUGGCGGACGGGUGAGUAACGCGUGGGAAUCUGCCCUCAGGAGGGGGAUAACGGCUGGAAACGGCCGCUAAUACCCCAUAUGCCGAGAGGUGAAAUGAAUUUCGCCUGAGGAUGAGCCCGCGUCUGAUUAGCUAGUUGGUGAGGUAAGAGCUCACCAAGGCAUCGAUCAGUAGCUGGUCUGAGAGGAUGAUCAGCCACACUGGGACUGAGACACGGCCCAGACUCCUACGGGAGGCAGCAGUGGGGAAUUUUCCGCAAUGGGCGAAAGCCUGACGGAGCAACGCCGCGUGAGGGAUGAAGGCCUCUGGGCUGUAAACCUCUUUUCUCAAGGAAGAAGAUCUGACGGUACUUGAGGAAUAAGCCACGGCUAAUUCCGUGCCAGCAGCCGCGGUAAUACGGGAGUGGCAAGCGUUAUCCGGAAUUAUUGGGCGUAAAGCGUCCGCAGGCGGCCCUUCAAGUCUGCUGUUAAAACGUGGAGCUUAACUCCAUCAUGGCAGUGGAAACUGUUGGGCUUGAGUGUGGUAGGGGCAGAGGGAAUUCCCGGUGUAGCGGUGAAAUGCGUAGAUAUCGGGAAGAACACCAGUGGCGAAGGCGCUCUGCUGGGCCAUAACUGACGCUCAUGGACGAAAGCCAGGGGAGCGAAAGGGAUUAGAUACCCCUGUAGUCCUGGCCGUAAACGAUGAACACUAGGUGUCGGGGGAAUCGACCCCCUCGGUGUCGUAGCCAACGCGUUAAGUGUUCCGCCUGGGGAGUACGCACGCAAGUGUGAAACUCAAAGGAAUUGACGGGGGCCCGCACAAGCGGUGGAGUAUGUGGUUUAAUUCGAUGCAACGCGAAGAACCUUACCAGGGUUUGACAUCCUGCGAACCUCUUG